rnacentral:rRNA from 1 species
CCUACGGGAGGCAGCAGUGGGGAAUCUUGCGCAAUGGGCGAAAGCCUGACGCAGCCAUGCCGCGUGUAUGAUGAAGGUCUUAGGAUUGUAAAAUACUUUCACCGGUGAAGAUAAUGACUGUAGCCGGAGAAGAAGCCCCGGCUAACUUCGUGCCAGCAGCCGCGGUAAUACGAAGGGGGCUAGCGUUGCUCGGAAUUACUGGGCGUAAAGGGAGCGUAGGCGGACAUUUAAGUCAGAGGUGAAAUCCCGGAGCUUAACUUCGGAACUGCCUUUGAUACUGGGUGUCUUGAGUGUGAGAGAGGUAUGUGGAACUCCGAGUGUAGAGGUGAAAUUCGUAGAUAUUCGGAAGAACACCAGUGGCGAAGGCGACAUACUGGCUCAUUACUGACGCUGAGGCUCGAAAGCGUGGGGAGCAAACAGGAUUAGAUACCCUGGUAGUCCACGCCGUAAACGAUGAUUGCUAGUUGUCGGGAAGCUUGCUUCUCGGUGACGCAGCUACGCAUAGACAUCCGCCGUCGGGAGGUACGGUCGCGAGAUAAACUACAAGAAGUAGACGNGNGAGAGCGACGACGACGACGACGGAGGAGGAG